AACGCACCUUGCGCCUUUUGGUAUUCCGAAAGGCAUGCCUGUUUGAGUGUCAUGAAAUCUCAAUCCCCCUGGGUUUAUGAUCUGGGUUGGGACUUGGACUUGGGUGCUGCCUGUUACAUGGCUCGCCUCAAAUGACUUAGUGGAUCUCUCUGCAUCCGUGACAGACGUAAUAAGUUUCGUCUUGUCCCUUGCUGUCUGAGUCUGCUCCUAACCUGCCAUUGUGCACUUUUAGACUCUGACCUCAAAUCAGGUAGGACUACCCGCUGAACUUAA
rnacentral:misc_RNA from 1 species